GGCCUCGUAGCUCAAUGGAUAGAGCAGCGCACUCCUAACGCGCCGAUAUAGGUUCGAUUCCUGUCGAGGUCACCA
rnacentral:tRNA from 1 species